rnacentral:rRNA from 1 species
UACAGAGGGUGCUAGCGUUGUUCGGAAUCAUUGGGCGUAAAGGGCGUGUAGGCGGUUUGUUAAGUCAUGUGUGAAAUCCCUCGGCUCAACCGGGGAACGACGCAUGAAACUGGCAAGCUAGAGUACCAAAGAGGGGGGUGGAAUUCCCGGUGUAGCGGUGAAAUGCGUAGAUAUUCGGAAGAACACCAGUGGCGAAGGCGGCUCACUGGUCCAUUACUGACGCUGAGGUGCGAAAGCGUGGGGAGCAAACAGG